UACGAAGGGGGCUAGCGUUGUUCGGAAUUACUGGGCGUAAAGGGCGCGUAGGCGGUCCUGAUCGUCGGAUGUGAAAGGCCUGGGCUCAACCUGGGAAUGGCAUCCGAUACGGCGGGACUGGAGUGUGGGAGAGGUUGGUGGAAUUCCCAGUGUAGAGGUGAAAUUCGUAGAUAUUGGGAAGAACACCGGUGGCGAAGGCGGCCAACUGGACCACAACUGACGCUGAGGCGCGAAAGCGUGGGGAUCAAACAGG
rnacentral:rRNA from 1 species